UAAAUAUUCCCUCCGUCCGGAAAUACUUGUCAAAAAGAUGGAUAAAAAUGGUUGCAUUUAGAACUAAAAUAUGUCUAGAUACAUCCACUCUGACAAGUAUUUUCGGAUGGAGGAAGUAUAAA
rfam:Triticum aestivum genome assembly, contig: Triticum_aestivum_CS42_TGACv1_scaffold_376485_5AL